AUGGACAGAAAAAGAAAAAUGACAAACCAAGAGAACAAGAGACAAUUUACUGAACCAGGAGAGAAACAGAUGCUGAGACUAACCAGACAGAGCAGCAUUAAUAGCGGAAAACCAAACUUUUCUGAUGGUCCAGACAGUUUUAUUCAGAGUGACUCACAGACGAGACAGGAGCAGCUCCUUUCACCAGACCAGCAGAAUAUACUCUAUAUUCAGUCACUGAUUAAUCUUUUCACACGUGAGUUUAAAAUAUACUAUCUGAGCCCCCAGCGUGAGUUUUUAGGCGACCGUUAUUUUAGAAAGUAUCUCUUUACUGUUUUAAUGGAGACGCGUCAUGUUUGUCACGUGACACACCGCAGCCACAAUAGUAUGACACAUGCAUCACUUUUAUUCACUUUUAUAGUCCUUUAUUCAAAAUAUUCACUGUGAAAGUGAAUGUAUUUGGUAGUUUAAACACCUUUAUAAUGACCAUGUAAGUUGAUCUAUAGCGGGUGAUGGGCGCUGAUAGUUCGCACUGAAUCCAAACUGUGGGAUUUACAACCAUAUAAGCUGCUUCUCCCAAAUCACGUACUUAUGCACUAUUCUAUGACGUUUUGUGGUAUAAAUAGUGUGAGUAGUGCACUCACACUGAAAAUUCCAAAAAGAAAAAUUGCACUUUAAACACCCGGAUGAUGCUCUUAAAUAACCGAAAAGUGUGGAAUGUUGGUCACUUCAUGCAAAGUCCCUUUAAGGCAAGUCAUGUCACUUGGCUCAAGCAUGCAAGUGCAGCUCCUAUCUCUUUGAAAGUGACCGUGACAUCACAUACAGACAAGUAUGGUGACCCAUACACACACCUGGAGCAGUGGGCAGCCAUUUAUGCUGCAGCGCCCAGGGAACAGUUGGGGGUUUGGUGCCUUGCUCAAGGGCACCUCAGUCGUGAUAUUGAAGGUGUAUUAUUAUUGUAAAUGAAAUGAUCACAGAUAAUAGUUUUGAUGUACUCUGCUUGACUGAAAAUUGGCUAAAACCAAAUGAUUAUAUUGGUCUAAAUGAGUCUACUCCAUCAAACUGCUGUUAUAAACAUGAGCCCAGUCAGACUGGUCGUGGGGGAGGUGUUGCAACAAUAUAUAGUGAUAUUCUCAAUGUUACCCAGAAACCAUGAUACAGGUUUAAAUCAUUCGAAAUACUUAUGCUUAAUGUUACACUGUCAGAUAUGCAAAAGAAAUCUAUUGUGUCUCUUGCUCUAGCUACUGUGUAUAGACCACCAAGGCCAUAUACAGAAUUCCUAAAAGAAUUUGGAGAUUUCCUCUCAGACCUGUUGGUUACCGCUGAUAAAGUGCUAAUUUUCGGAGAUUCGUGCACAAAGCAAACUGGCAAAAACAUGACUACUUAUACAAACAAUAAGGGUCACAUGACAAU
ensembl:lncRNA